rnacentral:rRNA from 1 species
GUGGGGAAUAUUGGACAAUGGGCGAAAGCCUGAUCCAGCCAUGCCGCGUGUGUGAAGAAGGUCUUCGGAUUGUAAAGCACUUUAAGUUGGGAGGAAGGGCAGUAAGUUAAUACCUUGCUGUUUUGACGUUACCGACAGAAUAAGCACCGGCUAACUUCGUGCCAGCAGCCGCGGUAAUACGAAGGGUGCAAGCGUUAAUCGGAAUUACUGGGCGUAAAGCGCGCGUAGGUGGUUUUGUAAGUUGGAGGUGAAAUCCCCGGGCUCAACCUGGGAACUGACUCAAAAACUGCAUGACUAGAGUACGGUAGAGGGUAGUGGAAUUUCCUGUGUAGCGGUGAAAUGCGUAGAUAUAGGAAGGAACACCAGUGGCGAAGGCGACUACCUGGACUGAUACUGACACUGAGGUGCGAAAGCGUGGGGAGCAAACAGGAUUAGAUACCCCAGUAGUCC